GACCGCGUAGCUCAGUUGGCAGAGCAUUGGGCUAGUAUUCCAAACUCCAAAGGUCGUAGGUUCGAUUCCCACCGUGGCCA